ACCUCCUUCAGCCAAGUCCCUGGGCCUUCAGUGGUAAAGAAGAUGCCACUGUGCCUGUGGCUCAGAACUGGUUUUCACCAGAUCUGCUGGUCACACACCCACCACCACAGCCCAGCCCACGGCUCCCGGCAUCUUGAGCUGGAGUCGGAACAGCAUCGGAAUCAAAUCACUAUCUCUCGGUUUGUGGCUUCUGACUAAACUGGUUCUCCGCUGCCUGCCCACCCGCCAGGCCCACAGGCCAGGCUGCUGGGUACAGACAUGGGAAGAUACUGGCAUGAUAACGCAGCCGGGAGCAUGCGCCCGCGAGGCCACCCCAUGGAACAGCACACUGGCUGAGCAAGAACAAAGACCGUAAAUGAAGAAGGAUGUUUGCACUAUGCUCCCCGCUCGCCUGAAAACAGGAAGCCGUGCAGGCCUACCCUGACAAGCCUCCUCCUCUUCCUCGGCCCAGAGCUACAUAGCCUCAGAGGUUUUAUUUUCAUUACUUAGUUUGGUUUGGUUUUGAUUUUAAUGGGCAGAUCUCUUCCAACGCACUUUUUCUCCCCUCCUUGCUUCUCUGCCAUGGGAGGGAGCACCGUCCGCCCAUGGCCCAAUGGCGAACCGAGGAUCAUGGGUGGCUUUCCCCGCUUUCUUUUCACCUGCCCUUCCUCAAGCUCCUGCAAGAAGAAGGGGCCAACUCCGGCAGCUGACCCAAUCAACACAGCUGACAGACCCCAGAGGCAGAGGCUAGCAGCUUGGGAAGGAAGGCAUCAGAGGGGGCAGGCAUGUGGAGGUGGGCUUCUGAGCAGAUGCCAAGAGUGCACAGCGAUGACACAGACUUGUCGUGGGAUGCUAUUCACAGACCCAAGAAGGAAUGAAGACAAUCUACCUCCUGGAUGGAAGGGGGCCAGGGACCAGCCAGCUAGGAAAGCCAGACAGUAGAUCCAACUGAGAGUAAGCCCUGGAGGGGCAGCAGCAGGAUCUGGGCCAGAAUGGCUCUGUGAGGUUCUGCUCUGCAGCCUCCGGGCUUACAGCCUCCUCUCGAACAUUUAAAUAUAGGCAGUACCAAAUCUCUGUAUCAGAGAGGGUGCCCCCCCCCCCCGAAUCAAAAUCAACAGGAGAUGUGUGUGUGUGUGUGUGUGUGUGUGCGCAUACAUACAUAUGUGUGUAUACACAUAGUUGUUCCAUGGUAACCAAGGGACAAUGGUUCCAGGACCCCACCCUUGCCAUGAUUAGCAAAAACAUUCACAGAUGCUCAAGUCCCUUGCCCCAAAUGUCAUAGUAUUUGCACUCAACCUGCACCCCUCCUCCUUUACAUUUUCCGUCAUCUCUAGAUCGCUCAGAAGUCCCAGUUCCGUGCCUACACAGCACUUUAUUUGUGUGGAUUCAGUGUAUUCCUGAGCGUGCAACACAACUAAGCUUUGCUUUUUGGAGUUUUCUGGAUUUAGAAAGCCUAUUUUCUAUCCACUCUUGAUUGAAUCUAGAGAUGUAGAACCCACGUAUAGAGAGGGCUGACUGUAUGUAUGACGAGCUUUAUUUUAAGGACGUGACUCAGGUCAUCGCAGGAACAGAAAAGUCUGAAAUCCCCAAGGCGAGUUGCUGCUACAGUCGUGAGCGGGCAUCUGAAGGGCAGGGGGCAGGGGCAGGCACAGACGCAGGCUCAGGAGUGGGCACUGCAGGCUUGAGGCAGAAUUCCCACUUCUCUGGGAAACUUGUUUUUGCUUCCAAGGCCUUCAACUGAGUGGUUGGCCCACCUACUACCCAGGGUCAUGUCCUCUACUGAAGGACCAUGUUGCCUCCUCAGCAACCUCUAGACCAGUGCUGGUUGGAUCCUUGAGUGGCACAGCCUGCAAGUGCACACAGAAGGCUCGCCACUCCAUCUCACUCAUGACAGGCUCCAAGGCCAUUUUGAAGGCUCUGCCAUCUUCCCAUCCAAGCACAUCAGAGGCGAGUCCCACUCAUCAGCUUCAUCUCUAAGCUACUACCCGUGUCGAGAGCUGCCAGUGUGUGUACAUGGCCAGUCAUGCCUCUUGAGUCAGACCAAAGUAAAUUAGAAAAACCAACUGAACACUGAAGAGAAGAUACAGGUCUGAGAAUCAGAAGACCUGGGUUCCAGUUCUGGCUCCACCAUUAGUUGGUCAUGAGCCUCUAUAGUGUGUGUGUGUGUGUGUGUGUGUGUGUGUGUGUGUGUGUGUGUGUACACAUACAAUAUAGGUUAUGGUUUGGAUAGAAGAGAGUCCCCCAAAACUCCUGUGUUAAUGCAGGAAUGUUCAGAGGUGAAAUGAUUGGAUUGUGAGAGCUGUAAUCUGAUCAGUAAUAUUGAUUGAUUGGUAAUUGUAGGCAGGUGAGGCAUGGCUUGAGAAGGUGAGUCUUUGGGGUGGACAUUUGCUCCAUGGCCCUUCCUACUCUCUGCUUCCUGGCUGCCAUGAAUACAGUGUGUCCUUCCGCCAUAUGUGCUGCCUCAUCUUGGGCCCAGAGCAAUGGUGUUGGCCCACCAUGGACUAAAAAAUCUCUGAAACCAUGAGCCAAAAUAGACUUGACCUCCUCUAAGUUGUUCUUGUCCAGUAUUGUGGUCACAGCAAGGAAAAACUGACUAAAACAGUAUAAAUAGAAGCUGAAGAUGCUCCAUGACCUUCAUCAAUGACUAUUACCCCAGGGCCUUAGGACACAGGCCUUAAUGCCUUCAGGGACAGUCCUACCCUAAGAACAAGGACUAGGCAGAGAACAUCAGAGAAAAUUUGAGAAGCAAUAUAUAGACAGAUAAAUGUAGAUAAAUGAGCGUGAGAGAUUUGUCUAUAAAUAAAUAUAUCAACAUAAUGUAAA